UACGGAGGUUGCAAGCGUUGUUCGGAAUAACUGGGCGUAAAGGGAGCGCAGGCGGCUUGGUAAGUCUAACGUGAAAUUCCAGGGCUCAACCCUGGACGUGCUUUGGAUACUGCCUGGCUUGAGUACGUGAGAGGAGAUUGGAAUUCCAGGUGUAGCGGUGAAAUGCGUAGAUAUCUGGAGGAACACCGGUGGCGAAAGCGGAUCUCUGGCACGUUACUGACGCUGAGGCUCGAAAGCAUGGGGAGCAAACGGG
rnacentral:rRNA from 1 species